AUUGCGAAGGCAGCUUUCUGGAUCAUUACUGACACUGAGGAACGAAAGCAUGGGUAGCGAAGAGGAUUAGAUACCCUCGUAGUCCAUGCCGUAAACGAUGUGUGUUAGACGUUGGAAAUUUAUUUUCAGUGUCGCAGCGAAAGCGAUAAACACACCGCCUGGGGAGUACGACCGCAAGGUUAAAACUCAAAUGAAUUGACGGGGACCCGCACAAGUAGUGGAGCAUGUGGUUUAAUUCGAAGAUACGCGCAGAACCUUACCAACACUUGACAUGUUCGUCGCGACUCUAAGAGAUUAGAGUUUUCGGUUCGGCCGGACGAAACACAGGUGCUGCAUGGCUGUCGUCAGCUCGUGUCGUGAGAUGUUGGGUUAAGUCCCGCAACGAGCGCAACCCUCACUUUUAGUUGCCAUCAUUAAGUUGGGCACUCUGAAAGAACUGCCAGUGAUAAGCUGGAGGAAGGUGGGGAUGACGUCAAGUCCUCAUGGCCCUUACGUGUUGGGCUACACACGUGCUACAAUGGUAUCUACAACAGGAAGCAAAACGGCAACGUUAAGCAAAUCCCGAAAAGAUGCCUCAGUUCGGAUUGCACUCUGCAACUCGAGUGCAUGAAGCUGGAAUUACUAGUAAUCGUGGAUCAGCGUGCCACGGUGAAUGCGUUCCCGGGUCUUGUACACACCGCCCGUCACACCAUGGGAGUUGGUUCUACCUUAAGGCAAGGUUUUAAACCCUUGACCACGGUAUAGUCAGCGACUGGGGUGAAGUCGUAACAAGGUAGCCGUA
rnacentral:rRNA from 1 species